rnacentral:ncRNA from 2 species
AGAGGAAGCCGGUGAGAAUCCGGCGCGGUCCCGCCACUGUCACCGGGGAGCGCACCCCCGCGCACGAGCAGCACGCAACGCCACGGCCCGCGAAAGCCGGAAGGCAAGGGGGCCCGCGCCGAUCCGGGAGCCAGGAGACUC